GAGGGCCAAAGUACACUUUAUUGGAGUUGCUUCAACUCGCAGACAUGAAAAACAACCCACAGUCAUAAAGUAACACAAGACAAAAUUUACGCCCCUGGUUGCACAUAAUACAUAGGUCACAAAUGAAUUAACCUUUAACAUUUGAAUGUUUUUUUCUUCUUCUUCACAGAAUGUUUAGGGCUCAGAGGUACAUGGAUCAAUAUGAAGUCCACCAUUAUAAAGUCUUUAUUUUGCAAAGGAGUGUUGGAUUCUGGUGUCCAGAAAAAUGCCACACAUCAGAAGACAUCUGUGCUUAUCUUGUGAUGAAACGGAGCUUACUAUCUGAUCCUGGAGAAGGAUGGUGUAACAUCAGAGCUCAAUAAGGAAGCACAACAUUUCAGGUGUGUUGAACAAUGACAUGAUCGAGAAGAUACCAGAAGAAAAGAAAUGCAAGGCAUACACAAGUCGCUCUGCCUGCUGUCUUCUUAAUGAAUUUAUAAAGCAACAUUAAACGCUGUGACAUUUAGAAGACAAAA